rnacentral:sRNA from 1 species
GCUGGGUAUGGUGGUAAGUGUCAGUAGUCCCAGCUACUUGGGAGGCUGAGGAAGGAGGAUCAUUUGAGUCCAGGAAUUUAAGACUAGCCUGGACAACAUGAUGAUAUCUUGCCUCAA